rnacentral:pre_miRNA from 1 species
UAUUUAGUAUAAGUAUGUUCCACGCAAUAUUUGGGACAUACUUAUAUUAAUA